CAGCAUCCCGAUCCUUUUCCUCGCGCAGCUCCCUCUCCUUCCCCUCCCAACCCUAGCCGCCGCUACCUAGCAGGCCCUGCGGCCGCCGCCGCUACCCUCCUCUCCUCCCCGUUCCUCUCCAGCCGCCGAGCUCGCCGCCAUCGCUGCACUCCGGCCAGAUCCGCUCCUCACGGCCGCAAGCACUCGCGCGCGACCCCUCCCCGCGGCUAGGGUUUCGGCCGCCUGCAACUCCGGCGAGCCACCAUCCUCCCAUGGACGAGGACGACCACCACGGCCCGCACAUGGUCGAGCUCGCCGUCGUCUGGUCCGGUGCGGUGUUGGGCCAACGACCUCCGCUUCUCUUCUCCAUGGACAAACUUCAAAAGGCAACAGCAAGCCAUAUCAAGGGAGGGGAUUGAAGUCACCCCACUUCAAAUCCAUGGGCGCCAUCCACAAGAACUGGACAUCUUGGAACUGUUGUUGGCGGAGGGCGACGCAGAUUUGCGAGCCUUGUGGCGCAGUUUGGACAGGGCCUCGACGCUCUCAUCUCGGUCUCCUCGCCCCGGGUCUUCAUCUUCCCCACCUCCGUCGUGGCGACGCGGGGCGAGGGCGACGAGGGCAGUGCCGGGUUUGACGCCGGACGGGGCGGCAGGGGAUGAGGGCGGCACCGUGUUCGACGCCGGGCUUAAGUACCUCGAGGCCGUCAACGGCAACGUGCUCGUGUAUCCCAGGUUCAUCACGGAUCCUUUGACGAAGAAUCACAUGACGGACAGAUUUCACUAGACACGAUUCUCCGGCGGGUAGCUGCACACAACCACAGGAGGAGGUGGUGUUGUGGAAGAAUACGGCCUCGGCAAAGCCAUACUCUUGCAUCUCUUUCAACUGGUAUGACAUGGACAUUUGUAUGAUGGUGGACAGGCACCUUAAUAGAAGUGACUUAUUGAGCCUCGCUACCACCUGCCGUUGGUUUCUCCGGCUCCUCAUGAGGAGCCAUUUAUUUUCUUGUGAUAAUAUAGUUGAUCUACAAGCAGCAAGCAAAAUUGUUGUUAAAAAACUUAUCUAAAGGCCAACAUGAAUCAUCAAGACUGUCAAAUGAGACUGGGCCAUACCUUUUCCAGGUCAAGGCACUUUGGUACCUGAGAGCAAAGAGGAGGGUGAGAAGGGUGAGAAGAAAUGAAAGAGGAAGAAGAGGAACAAGAAGAGCAAGGAAGACAUUGCCUGGGUCGAUCGGCUGGAAGAUUGAAGGUGUUGCAGAGCCUGCUACCCAAUUCCAACAAGGUCACUCCAUUUUUCCUUCUUUCUUUGUCCCUGAAUUUGGUGCUCCUGCGUUUAUGUUUGUGAUGAAAUUAAUGGGUUCAUGUUUGCAUUGGUCUGCGGGGUUAGGCAUCAAUUCUUGAUGGGGCCGUUGAGUAUCAGAAGCAAUUGCAUCUCCAAGUAUAGGUCAUUAAGCAUGCCUGGAUUCAUUUGGAUGAUGAUCUCAGUUUGAGGGAGAUAUCGGUCUCAUUGAUGACACAUGCAAGCGGGGUAAAACUUGAGUCACCUACAAAAUGAUUUUUACCAUUUGUCAGAGCGGAGGUUUUUCUGGGGUUGUGCAUGUCGAGCCUGUUUGGCUGUUUAUGAGCAGGUUACACUAUAGUCGAUCAAGCCCUUGCAAGUUUGUAACGCAUUUUUGCAUUCUAGGGUUACAAUGGCGAGUAAUAAACAAGACGACCAUGCAGAUCUGAUAGAGAAGAGACCCACCCCGGUGACCUCCUACAGCCAUGGUCGAUGGCAGCCCCAGCAACGAGGGACUCGCGGUCACAGGAGAGAAGGAUCUCCGUACCCUACCAAGCUCGCUGGAGACGGAUCCAUAGGAGAGCAACCAGCAGCUCAAGUAGUUUUACCCGUGCAACCAUCCUGCUAAUUUCCUGGACCUGAAGAAUACCGACGAGUCGACGGACACAGGACGUUCCUGCAGGCUAUGUCCUCCGAGCCUCGUGAAAUCAUGAGGACAGAAGCUUCCGUGCCUACUUCAACUCUGCAGAACCAAUGAAGCUUGAAGUUUACAAGUUGGGGGAUGCCAGUGAUACUGCUCUUGCACGCUGCUUGCUGCUGUCUACUUGAUGUUUUUAAAUUUAAGUCAAAUUAAGCGUCAUGUGUCGUUAAACUUUAGUUAUGUCCAGUCUUGCGAUUUUGGUUCGUGUGCCUGUGUGCUAAACUACUGUUGGAUCUUGGAUGCUAUGUUUUGAGUCAAGAUAUGAUUAUGUACAAUCUGUCUAUUGUUAAGAAACGAUGAGCAAUCAGGUUUGUUUUGAUAAAA